GAUGAACGCUAGCUACAGGCUUAACACAUGCAAGUCGAGGGGUAACGAGAGGAAAGCUUGCUUUCCUUGUCGACGACCGGCGCACGGGUGAGUAACGAGUAUCCAACCUGCCCCCAACUAGGGAAUAACCUUGCGAAAGUAAGACUAAUACCCUAUAAUUUCCUCAGAUGUCAUCUGACGAGGAAUAAAGAUUUAUCGGUUGUGGAUGGGGAUGCCUCUGAUUAGCUUGUUGGCGGGGUAACGGCCCACCAAGGCAAAGAUCAGUAAGGGUUCUGAGAGGAAGGUCCCCCACAUUGGAACUGAGGCAAGGUUCAAACUCCUACGGGAGGCAGCAGUGGGGAAUAUUGGUCAAUGGGCGGAAGCCUGAACCAGCCAAGUUGCGUGCAGGAUGACGGCCCUAUGGGUUUUAAACUGCUUUUAUACAGGAAUAAAGUUAGCCACGUGUGGUUAUUUGUAGGUACUGUAUGAAUAAGGACCGGCUAAUUCCGUGCCAGCCGCCGCCGUAA
rnacentral:rRNA from 1 species